GGAGAGAUAAAGGGAGAUAGGAAAUUCUGCAUCUGCUUUGCAUGCAGAAGGUCCCAGGUUCAACCCCUGGCCUCUCCA